GAAAUGCGAUAAGUAGUGUGAAUUGCAGAAUUCAGUGAAUCAUCGAAUCUUUGAACGCACAUUGCGCCCCUUGGUAUUCCAUGGGGCAUGCCUGUUCGAGCGUCAUCUACACCCUCAAGCUCUGCUUGGUGUUGGGCGUCUGUCCCGCCCCCGCGCGUGUACUCGCCCCAAAUCCAUUGGCAGCGUUCCUUGCCCCCUCUCGCGCAGCACAUUGCGCUUCUCGAGGGCGGCUCCGGGACGCGAUCCAGCAAGAUGACCACCGUCUUUGACCUCGGAUCAGGUAGGGAUACCCGCUGAACUUAAGC
rnacentral:misc_RNA from 1 species